UUCGAUCCGUUCUUUUCUUCUCUGUUCUCUUCAUUCCAACCACAUCUCUGACCUCAUCGAUCUUCUUCAUUCUCUUCUUCUCCGUUCUCCUCAUUCCAACCAUAUCUCCGAUCGACCUCAUCUUCUCCGUUCUCUUCUGUCUUCAACCAUCACCUUCAUUCUAAGCUCCUUCAGGUCAAGCUAAUAUUUAAGGGGUUCUCCAAUCUCUCUAAGUCCCCAAGCCUUACCUAUCUCGAAAUAAUAAGGUAUAGUAGCAUAAGUUGACGCAGAGGGCUCUUUCGAAUGAUCAAUCCAUCUUCAUUUGAGAAGAGGUCAGGAGAGAGAGAAAAACUUGUGGUUGAGUUGUAAAAGAAAGCCAAGAAACUAAAUCUCUUACCAUUGAUCGAGCUGGAUUGGUAACAUUGAAGUUUGGGUUGAAGAAUCUUUAUCUUUUUUAAGCUUCUAGUUAAGGGCACGUCCAAUACAACCAAUUUUUACUAGUUCUACGAUGUAGUGGGGCCUGCCCAACACUCCCAUCGUCUUUGUCGUAGUGGGGCUUGCCUAGCACUCACGACAGCAUCGUUGUCACAGAGUACACUCAACGUCAACAACGGAACGUAACCUGUGUGCACACAAUAUCCUAUAGCCUCAGGCUCAAGAUCUCAGUCAUGUAGUCAAUGGAAAGCAUAUGAAAACAUUAAAACAUGUAUACUUAUAUUAAUCUUGCAUAAACUCAAACUUACUUAGCUUGUUUAUGGAAACCGAAAAUCUUA